rnacentral:piRNA from 1 species
UGUAAAAGACGUGAACCAGCAGGAGU